CCUGUUUGCCCAGAAAGCACUGCUGGAUUUGGUAUGUUAGCGAUUAAUAAUUGUCUUAUCCCAUUGAGUUAGUUUUCAAUUAUGUGAUGCAGUGUGAUAAACACACAACAAUUGAUAUUCUGCUGGGUGGAAAACAAAGUUUUAAAAAUAUCAUAGCCCAACUAUUAUAUAUUUUAUAUGUAAAAUUUAUAGUGUUCAAUCUGUGAACAUGCAGUCAUAGAUUGUUGACAGUUACAACUUACAAAUGGCAGUUUAUUGUCUAGUAUUGUAAAAAUAGUUAUAGUAAAUAAAUGUGAAUGAACUUUUAUCAAUUUCAUUCAUCCAUAUUGAUAGUCCUGCACAACACUUUAAAAUUAUUCAAUGUUUUUAUUUAUUUCAACUUAAUUAUUUACUACAUGAAGUACUGAAUCUUGCUUUCUGUGACGUCGCCACAGAUUAAUUAAGAGGACCUCUACGUCUUAAUUUGUGACGUCGCAUACAAGCAAAAUUGCAGGCUCAAUGUCAGUGAGAUUUUGGAAAAGAAAUUGCAACGACAGAUAAAUGUCAAUAAUAAUAUACGUUAAUUAAAACCAGAAAUAAUGGUGCAAUAAAAUUGAGAAGUAACGUGAAAUAGGGUAAUCACAUUAAUACCAGUUCUUCUGAACUGAUGUAAUUAUAAUUACGUUACAAAUUACUUUGGCAAAACAGGUAAUUACAGUAAAGCAUUACUUUUGUAAACCGUAUUUAAUUUACAACACUGAUUGUAUAAUACAUACUACCUGCACUAGACCCACAUUUGCAAUAUUCAAUUUGUGUUCUGUGUUAUGGUCAGUGGAAGUCUAUUUUUAAAAUAUAUUGUUUUUUUAUAAUUUAUAUAUUUAGCGAGUACUGUCCCAACCGCUAGUGAAGCACAAGGGAAUGGCUGUCAUUCUGUGACUAUUGAUAUGCAAGGUAAUUAAGGGGCCGAUUACAUGGAGAACUUUCAACCCCAGGGUUGAACUCAGCCCUGUUAACCGGGUUGAAAUUUUUUGCGAUUACAUGGACGAUUUCAACCCCGGGGUUGAAACGCUAUACUAUACGUUCUCUGCAUCGAUUCCCGGAAGUAAAAAAGCCUUCGUUUUGCUUUCUUGUAAUAAAUAGUCACUACCACGCAUGCUCAAAUAACUCAUGAUAAUUUCAGCCCUGGGUUGAAAAUUUUGUGAUGUAAUCGUGCGUUUGAUUUUGAUAGAGUUUUGUAUUACAGACAGGGCUGAAAUUUCAACCCGGUAAACAGGGCUGAGUUCAACCCCGGGCUUGAAAAUGCUCCAUGUAAUCGUCCUCUAAGGGCUACUAGACAACACUUCUUUUUUGUGUAUGCAUACAUUAGGAUAUCCAUCUUGUGAUAGAAAGAGUUUAACUAGGUCACAAACAAGGUUCUGUGUUCUUGCAAAAUAUGACAUUUGUUUUAACCCACUGAGUGCCCAGUACUCCCAGCUGACAGUAUUCUAGUUUUUGCGUAGCUAACAAAAAUGUUACUGUGUUAUUCUAUUGGCUUUCUAGCAACAUCCCAAACACAUUCCAAUUGAUGUUGAAACUCCGGUUCUGACAAGGCUUAGUGAUCUUCCAUCCAAAACAUACCAGAAAAUAUGCAAGACCUUUAAUAGAGGUACAUAUGGUAUAAAUAAUUGGGAGGUCCUAGCUGGUUAGCUUGAAUUUUCUGCUGAAAUGGUUAGAAGUUGUGAAUCAGAGAAGAAAAAAAAAACAGAUGCUGCAGUAAUUUGUAGCUGGGAGACAAAAACUGGGAAUAGUUUUGCAAAAUUUGUUGAGAUUUUAAAGGAAAGCGACCUUUAUUAUAGCUUAGACUAUUUAUCUUUACAACACUUUAUUACUUUCCUAACUAUGUUUAUCCUAUAAUUAUACCCACCCUGUCAACUGCAAACCACUCCGCCUUGAGAAAACCCACAAUAUCAGUGAAAAUAAUAUCAGUGAAAACCCACAAUAUCAGUGAAAACCCACAAUAUUAGUGAAAAUAAUAUCAGUGAAAACCCACAAUAUCAGUGAAAACCCACAAUAUCAGGGAAUGAGCUCAAUAAUGUAUGAAUUUAGAUAGCAAUCAUGUAAACUUUAUAUUGUAUAAACUAUGUGAUAAACCUUAAUUGCCAUGAAAUUUAUUUCAUUGCAUAGUAUUGUAAUAACUACAUAUAGUGAAUUCAUAGUUUUGUAAAAUAGUAUUGUAACCAUCUUGACAACAUAAUUAAAUAAUAAUAUUUAAUAUUUCUAUUGCGCGAUUUUAAUACAUAUGUAUACAAUCAAGUUUGCAUUACAUUAUAUAGAGGUUAUUUACAAC